rnacentral:lncRNA from 10 species
CCCAAAGUGCUGGGAUUACAGACAUGAGCCACUGUGCCCUGCCUGACAUCUUUAUUUUGUCUCAUUCCUACUCUAAAAUCAAAACAUUCUUUAAAAAGCCAGAAAAGCACACCAAAUUAUGAUUUUUUUAAUUUUUACUUAGUUGGCCUUUUUUUUUUUUUUUUAAGAGAUGGCUUUUGCUAUGUUGCCCAGGCUGGACUCGAACUUCUGGGCUCGAAGGAUUCUCCCACCUCAGCCUCAUGAAUAGCUGGGACUAUACGCACUGCCAUCUCUCUUGGGUGUUUUUAUUUUAUUUCUUCAUUUAUUGUAUCCCAUCAGCCCAACAAGCCAACUUCUCUCACAUAGGAAUGGGGGCCUGGGUACAAAUUUCUUAUCCAGGCAAGAGGGGAUGAAAGGAGAUCCUCCUUCUUGCCCUUCUGAUGGUUGGGACAGAGUCCCUUUUAUGCGCGUGGGAGGUGUUUUGGUCUGGAUAGACACUGGGUAUAGAUUGACCUAGAAUAAAUGUUCUCACAUAAAUUCAUACCAAUUGCACAACAGUAUGGUUUAGAAAUCUUGAAAGCGUAUUUUAAAGCCCCAAAAUUACCUAAGAGGAAUUGAAAGGCUUCAAGCUCCUAAUACUCAGCAUAUGAGUGAGGAAAUGAUAGGACAAACCUGCAAAAGAAACUGUACUUCUGCAAAGGGGGCAGCCAGAAGGAAACGGAUCCCCUACUUCCAGAGAAAGAAAAGCUGACUGAUUUUCGUCUUCCUUUGCUCCCACAGAGCCUCACUCUAUGGAUUUUCCCAGACUGAUUCCUUAUGUGGCAUCUUGGCUAUAAUCAGUCUUGAGACAGGCCACCAAACAAAAAGCUUUUGAUUGCCAGUUUUCGCCACCUGCUGGUUGUUUCACAGCGUUACUCUCUUCAUCCAUCCAAGAAAGUUCUUUCAUCCAUCAUCAAUAUAAAUAUUCUCCAAGUUUAUGAAAUUCAAAAGAUGCCUACUGCUCUCGUUGGACUGAAACUGCAGUGAUAGAACCAAACAAGGUAUAAUACCAUAGUACCGGGAGGGCUGGGUGAAUAAUUUACAUUCUUACGUGUAAUAACUAACUUUUAUUCUCUUAUGCUAUUUAGCACACAGCACGUCUCCAAGGUAUUAAUUGAUAGUGAACACAAUUCUAAACUUUAAGGUUAAUAUGUUUCCUAGAACUGCCAUGACAAAAUACCACAAAUUAGGUAGCGUAAAACAACAGAAAUUUAUUCUCUCACAGCUCUGUGGGCUGGAAGUCAAAAAGCAAGGCGAAAGCAGGCCCACGCUUUCUCUGAAGCUCGGGUACAGUCUGUUCUUGCCUCUCCCUAGCUUCUGGUGGUGGCCGGCAAUCCUUAAUGUUCCUUGCCUUGCAGCCUAAUCACUCCAGUCUCUGCUUCCGCCAUGACCUGUGGGGUUCUGUUUUCUCCCAUUCUUCUGAGGUCUCCAGUCAUAAUACUGGAUUCAGGCCCAUCACAGUCACCUCAUCUUAACUUGAUCGCAUCUGUACAGACCUUAUUUCCAAAUAAGGUCAUAUUCACAGGUGCUGGGGACUGAAUUUAAAUAUGUUUUGGGGUGACACAAUUCAAUCCAUCACAAUAUGUAUCUAAUAUGACAUUUUUAAAACUAAUGAGGAUCAUUGACCCCAAGGCCUAAAGACUCAGCAAUAUUAGAACUGAGUUUCAAGGGCUACCGUGACCUCUCUAAAGCUAAAAUCUGGCUAUUUCAUAUUUCCACUCAAAGUUCUUGAAAACCUAAAAAUCUUAACUCUUCACAUGGCAUGAUCUGGCCCAAUCCUUUGCCACCCCCCUCCCUACCCCUCAUCUCUUCCUUUUCCCUUCUUGCAACUAUAUCCACUUUUUGUGGUUUCUGGAAUAUGCCAAGGUCUCUCACGUCUUUCGCUUUUGCACAUCUGCCGGUCUCCCUGAAUGGUACCCAGCUUUUUCACCUGACAAAUUCAUUUCUUUAGUUUUGGCUGAAGAAUUUCUUCCUCUGUAAAGCCAUCCCU